rnacentral:rRNA from 1 species
UCUACUUUGCAGAGGGAUAGCCCAGAGAAAUUGGAUUAAUACCUCAUAGUAUGUGAGGAUGGCAUCAUUUUCACAUUAAAGUCACAACGGCAAAAGAUGAGCAUGCGUCCCAUUAGCUAGUUGGUAAGGUAACGGCUUACCAAGGCUACGAUGGGUAGGGGUCCUGAGAGGGAGAUCCCCCACACUGGUACUGAGACACGGACCAGACUCCUACGGGAGGCAGCAGUGAGGAAUAUUGGACAAUGGGCGCAAGCCUGAUCCAGCCAUGCCGCGUGCAGGAUGACGGUCCUAUGGAUUGUAAACUGCUUUUGUACAGGAAGAAACACUACUUCGUGAAGUAGCUUGACGGUACUGUAAGAAUAAGGAUCGGCUAACUCCGUG